CUCAGAAUCAGAGAUUAACAGAACGGGUCAGGUUGGAAGGGCUCAUCUGGUCCAACCUCCCUGGUUGGGAACCCCAAGUUCAGGAUACUGUGGAGAUACUUUGUGAAGCAACCCGUGAUGAGCACCACAGAGAAGCUCAUCAGGGAACAGUUCUACAUGGAAAGCAGAAUUUGGGAACACCGGCCGCGCUAACCAAGAACAGUGACAGCAGCUACACAGCCCUUUCUAGCCAAGCAGUUUUGCUGACUGGCACCCCACACCAGACAGCCCCUUCCUAAAGCAUCACUCCUGAAAGCUGCACAGCGACAGCCUCCCAGCCAGCUGCAGUUUCUGGCAUUUUGUUUUUGUUUACCCUACUUCAUCAUUUUUCUGUGUGCACGUAACUCGUGUGCUGAAGUUCUUAAUUUCCCAGGCUCCUAAAAAUGCUUGUGAAGAGCAGCUUUUCCUUUGUUUUUACAAUGGAUGAUUGUACCUAACAGCACUUCAAAGGCAAAUUUAUCUUAUGGCAAUGCAGAAAGCUGCAUAAAUAUUUGCAGGUAUAGCUUGAUGCUGCAUUUGAGUAAGGAGUGCAACCUUCUCUUACUAAACAUUAUAAAUAAUUGUUAGUAAAAUGCAGAAAAAGUCUAAAAACUUGAGUAACAUAGAAGCAAAAUUGAAUUUUCAAGCUCUUCGGGAUGGAUUUCUACAAGUAACAGGGAUGAAAAACUGCAAUUUCCCCCCUCUAGUUUCAAAUGCAAUCUUAAAAUGCCAUACCAUAAAAGUGACCUCUAGAAUUCAAUCUAAAAAGCCUUAAACCAAAUUGCUGCCUUAAUUUAAAGAGAUGGACCUAAAAUUACUAGAUUAUAAAACCUGGGGUUGACAGCUCCAAAGAACACCUUCCACACAAGCUCUGUACUUCUUGGACCACACAGCCCAAUAGGAAAGUUAACCCAAUCAUUCAACUAAAUCCCAGUGACUUUAAUGGGAAUCAUCCCUGGAUAAUGACCCACAAAUCACAUCCUAAAUUGAGGAAAGACCAUCACAUUUCAUUAUCCACUUGCAGGAACAUAAACAGCAAAAUUUAUAGUCUCACAGCUGUUCAAUGCCAAAGUGGUACACCAAAAAAUUCAAAAGAAAAAAAAAGGAAAAGAACUGGAAAGAAACUCAACUUCCCUUGCUAUCUCAGUUCUUACUCUAAGAUUUACAGCAACUGAUGUAGCUCUGUAAAGAGAGAGGCAGGGUAAGGAAUCCUUUUCUUUCUCUAUCUCAUGGCUGCACAAAAAAAUACAAGAAAAUUACUACAGCUUUUCACUCCGUCUCCUAAGGAGAAGCUUAGUAGUUCAAGCAGAAAUUAUUAUAUUAAAGGCAAGAAAUAUUGUUCACGAUAAGGAAAGAAUGCAAUUUUCAUACCAUAAGUGUGGUGACUUUGAAAACAACUUCUCCUCAUGUAACUGCAAAUCAGCCAAACUCCAACAGCUCAGUUCUCAUCUAACAUACCCAGCCCUAUAUCCAGUCCAAUUGCCAAGUUCCAAAAAUUCUUGCCAUCAUACCCAAAUUCUUACUCAAAAAUAUAAUCUUGCUUCUCAACAUGAAAAAAAAUCAAAGGAAACAAUGGCUGAACUAAUGUGGUAUUUCCCAAGGGCAAUCUUUUCGUGCAAUAUUAUUUAGCAUAAGCAUAAACGUUUUGUGAACAUAUAGCCCAGCAAAUCAUCAAAGAUUUGGAAAGUCUGAGGCAGAAAGAUUAUCCCUGGCUACUGUUUUACCUCUUUAGCUAAUUCUGAAAGAUAGCUGUGAGCUUUCAAAGAAAUACACAGGGAAUAUUGAUUACUCCGCUUAAACCCCGCUUAAAACGUAU